GACGAACGCUGGCGGCGUGCUUAACACAUGCAAGUCGAACGGAAAGGCCCUGCUUUUGUGGGGUGUUCGGGUUGCGCACGUGUGGGUCACACGUGAGUAACGUGCCCUUGCCUUCGCGAUAUCUUCAGGAAACUGGGGCUACUACCGGAUAUUCGCGCCUGCUGCAUGGGGGGGGUUGGGAAGUUUGGGCGGUUGGGGUUGGACUCGCGGCUUAUCAGCUUGCUGGUGGGGUUGUGGCUUAGCAAGGCUGUGACGGGUAGCCGGCCUGAGAGGGUGACCGGCCACAUGGGGACUGAGAUACGGCCCAGAAUCCUACGGGAGGCAGCAGUGGGGAAUAGUGCACAAUGGGCGGAAGCCUGAGGCAGCAACGCCGCGUGCGGGAUGACGGCCUUCGGGUUGUAGAGCGCUUGCGCCUGGGACGAAGCGUGGGUGACGGUAGUGGGAGAAGAAGCACCGGCUAACUACGUG
rnacentral:rRNA from 1 species